UUUUUUGUUCUUUUUUUAAAAAAUUAUAGUUGAUUUACAAUGUUUCUUCAAUUUCUGUUGUAUAGCAAACUUACUAUUAGCUGAGGGUACAAAUUUAGUUCACAUUCACUUUCAGUUUCCCCUGGGCCAAUCAGCAUAAUCAGUCCUGAUGUAAUAAGCAAACUGGGAAGAAGCUGAUCCAUCCACCCAUUAGCAAAGACAGAAUGGCUGGCUCCUGGGACCAGGAUUCUCCAGCAGCUCUUCCAGAGGUUACUCCCAGAGGGCAGGCUUUACUCUCCUACCUUCUCUCUUACAAAAUGUAUUAAUUACUGUACUGUCUAAAAAAAAAACUACUCCCAAACGUAAAGAUCUAAAGCAACAAAGAAUUGUUAUCUUAGUUUCUGAUUGUCAGGAGCAGCUUAUCUGGGUGCCCCUGACUUUAGAUCUCUCACAAGGCUGUAGCCAAGGUGUCAGCUGGAGCUGUAGUCAUUUCAAUGCUCAUUUGCAGGAGAAUCGACUGCCAAGCUGACCUUCCUGGCUGCUGGCCAGAAACCUCACUUCCUGGCCAAGAGGGUCUCUCCAUAAGGCAACUCACAACAUGACAGCAGGCUUCCUUUAGCUCAAACCAGUGGGAGAGUGAGUCUUUUUGUGAUCUGAUGUCACUAGUGACAUCCCAUCAAUUCUGCUCUCACCUAUUUAUUAGAAGCAGUCACUAGGUCCAUCCCACACUCAAGCGGAAGGGAAUGCACAGAGCUGGAAUGCCAGGAAGUAGAGAUCCUUGGGAAUUUUAAUCCAGCUUUGUCAUUCGGGAUACACAGGGGCACAAGCAGUGAUACAUGGUCAUUUCCCUCUGGACUUAACUGGCUCAUCUCUUUGAAUAAGCUGAGAAAUGCACAUAAUUGUCCAUAUCAACCACCUUCCUACAAAGUCAAGCACUGAUGUUAUUACACACACACAGCAUGGACAUAAACCAUAUACAAAUCCUUGGGAAAGCUGAGUUGUACUGUAGUUUAUUGAGGAGAGUGAGGCUAAAACAUAAAUCUAGCAUAGGAAGCUCCCGUUGUGGCUCAGCGGUAACGAGCCCAGCCAGUGUCCAUGAGGACAUAGGUUCAAUUCCUGGCCAGGCUAAGUGGGUUAAAGGAUCUGACAUUGUUGUGAGCUGUGGUGUAGGUCACAAAUUUGGCUUGGAUCUGUGUUGCUGUGGAUGUGGUAUAGGCUGGCAGCACAGCUCCAAUUCAACCCCUAGCCUGGGAACUUCCAUGUGCCAUGGAUGCACCCCUAAGAAAGUAAAAAUAAAUAAAUAAAUAAAAUACAUCUAGUGUAUCUUCCCUCCAUUCUCCUGUGACCCCUCGGUUUGAGUUCUAGCUCUGUCUUUUACCAGCUGUGUGACUCUGGGCAAGAAACUUCCCUGAAGCUCCAUUUCUUUGUGCAUAUACUGAAGGUAAUAACAGAAUUCAUGCUACUGGGUUUUGAGUAUGAUUAAAUAAAAAUGAUUACAUAUAUGAAGACAGAUCUUGUGCAUUGUACCUGGCACAUUGUAGGUACUAAAGAAAUCUUGGGGCUUAUCACUAUCAUUAUUAUUCCAUUACUGUUCUUUAAUCCAAUGUAUUUUGUUUCAAAUUUCCUGCUCUUCCAGCUUGGCUUGUCUCCCCUUAGGAUGAAUAAAAACUGGUCAAUGCUAAAAACUCAUGGACAGUUUUUAAUGGCACCAAUAUGUGUAAGUUAUAAUCACAGUCUUUGGAAAUCUGAUGCUGGUAGUUGGCUUCAAAAUAAAGCAUCUCAAAGUUAGAGCAGGUUAUUGCAGAAGUUUGCAUGAAACAAAACAGUAUAGAAUGGGAGAAGUGGAGUUGAAUUUUCAUAUUUCACUUAUUUAAUCUUCGUCCACUCUUUGAAUGGUUGAUUUCUGAGUGAAUCCCCACAGAGAAGGGGAAUUUUGUCUCACAUCUUUUGGCUGGGGUUGAAGGCUCCAAGUGUUUCAGAGGGAAGAUGGCCCAUAGACACUUUACUUACCAAAGUUAUAUUCUGGAGCCGAGCAGAGUAGAGUGUCCUUUACUGCUUGCCUGAGGCAGUGUUAGUUGCAUUCCAAAAGUUUAGAAAUACAUGGGUGGACAGAUGAUCUAUGAAACAAUUGUUGACUUUUCCAUGUGUUUUUGGAAGGGGCUGAGGAGGACAAAGACACUUUUUUCUCUUUCUCUCUCAACUUUUAUUUUUUUUCUCUGAGAAGCCGCAGAAUUUUGACCCACUUCACAUCUGCCUCCUGCCUCUGGUUUUGAAAUCUGCAGGCUGAUGGCUUGUUUGCUUGUUAGCAUGAAAGGCUUGCUCUGGAUCUGAGCUUGCUUGUUAGUAAAGAACCAACAAGCAUUGGAGUCCAAAGGUAAUCACAGGCUGAAAUCACUUCCAGAUGCCAAACCCCACUCCUGAUGGUGAAAGCAGACCUUACAAUUGCAGCGGACCAGGUACUCAAUGGCUCUCACCCAAUCCUAUUAGGGUUUUGAACAUGCACAUGUGCGCUCCUCCUCCUUUUCUUUCUCUCUCCUUGCUCCCUUUUUUCCUUCUCCUUCAUUCCUUGCUUUCCUCAAUGUGGCUCAAUUUUAAUGUGAAGAUCAAAAUCAAAGCUGAUACAACCCAGUCUCAAUUCCGCCACAAGUAUUGGAGCUGCUGUUAUCCCGGGAUCUGUCAGAGGAUGCUAGCUCCCUGUUAGAGCCGCAGCCACUGGAGGGAGAAGUAUCCCCUUUCUUUUGGCUCCAUCCUUGAGGGCUUCUAGAAAGCCUGUACUGGGCAAUACUGUUCCUUGGGCAGUUGGUCAAG
rnacentral:lncRNA from 1 species